UAAUAAGUGUUUUAGUGGCACUUUUUAAAUCCAUAUCCACCUUGUGUGCAAUGUCAGUCGAUCUUCUUCAUGGAGAUCGACCAAACAUCAACCUUUAUCUUUUAACUCUUUGUCUGAAAAUAUUAUGAAUAAACAAUUCAAAAUA
rnacentral:misc_RNA from 1 species